rnacentral:rRNA from 1 species
AACGAACGCUGGCGGCAUGCCUAACACAUGCAAGUCGAACGAGACCUUCGGGUCUAGUGGCGCACGGGUGCGUAACGCGUGGGAACCUGCCCUUAGGUUCGGAAUAACUCCCCGAAAGGGGUGCUAAUACCGGAUAAUGUCUUCGGACCAAAGAUUUAUCGCCUUUGUAUGGGCCCGCGUUGGAUUAGCUAGUUGGUAGGGUAAAAGCCUACCAAGGCGACGAUCCAUAGCUGGUCUGAGAGGAUGAUCAGCCACACUGGGACUGAGACCCGGCCCAGACUCAUACGGGAGGCAGCAGUGGGGAAUAUUGGAAAAGGGGCGAAAGCAUGAUCCAGCAAGGCCGGGUGAGUGAUGAAGGCGUUAGGGUUGUAAAGCUCUUUUACCCGGGAUGAUAAUGAAGGUACCGGGAGAAUAAGCUCCGGCUAACUCCGUG